AUUGAACGCUGGCGGCAGGCCUAACACAUGCAAGUCGAACGAGUGGCGGACGGGUGAGUAAUGUCUGGGAAACUGCCCGAUGGAGGGGGAUAACUACUGGAAACGGUAGCUAAUACCGCAUACCAUCGGAUGUGCCCAGAUGGGAUUAGCUUGUAGGUGAGGUACCGGCUCACCUAGGCGACGAUCCCUAGCUGGUCUGAGAGGAUGACCAGCCACACUGGAAAUGAGACACGGUCCAGACUCCUACGGGAGGAAGCAGUGGGGAAUAUGGCAGAAUGGGCGCAAGCCUGAUGCAGCAAUGCCGCGUGUGUGAAGAAGGCCUUCGGGUUGUAAAGUAAUUUAAGCGGGGAGGCGUUACCCGCAGAAGAAGCACCGGCUAACUCCGUGCCAGAAGCCGCGGGAAUAC
rnacentral:rRNA from 1 species